GACAUCUGGGCAGAGUACAGAAAGUAAGGGAAGAAGAGAGAGAAAAAAGCAUCUCUGUUAUCCCAACACACAUCCCUCAGGCUGCAUAUACCCUAAACUGCCAGAACCACCCUAAAAAUAUCUCUCUAACACUGGACUCCUGUGUUAGUGACACACUCUGUAUGAAUGUGAGCAUUAAGCUGCUCACACUCCAGAGAAUAAGCUCAAAAUGAAACUGUGGAAUGUUUUCCCUUACCGUUAAAGCACUGGAUCCAUUUUCUUCUCUCGUCUCUCUGGCCACCUACAUCAAACAUGCUGUUAAAAAGCCAUAGGAUGUUAUAUCACUUAUGUGCACUAGGAAAGUCACACAAAGCAUGCAGCAUGAGGGUGCAGGUUGAAAAUCUGACAGCUCCAAGGACAGCAGCAGGAAAAUACUGCCCAAAGAGAGAGGGAAUUGCUGACACCGCGCUGCAUGUCCGACACAGCUGCACCUGCCGAGCUCUGCCCGAGAAGGCUACUGACCCAUAAAAAGAGAAACAUGCUCUUUUGCAGGGCAAGUCUUGGCCUUGCCAGCCCACAGAGGCACAUGUGGCACAUAAGAUUGGAUCUGCUGUACUAUAAACACAGACAGGUCCUGAAAAUGAGAAGACAGAAGCUGAUUAGCAAGGGCUGAGUGCUAUCGAUGCUGCAAUCGGACCACAAGGAGUAAAUCCCACUGCUACUGCCGUGGCCUGGGAAUGGCUGGAGGGCUUCAGUACUCGAUCCUCUAUUGGAUCAGCUACACAGACUCCACCUUACAACACACGGCAAGGCAUAUUGGUUUUUACUGCCUGCUGUUUCAGGAUACUUUGAAGAGUCUGCCAAAGGAAUUGGGCAUGGUUGUGGUUACAGAGCUGAGCUAGGUCUGAAGGGACAGCUCUGCUCCUCACACUUCCUCAUGUGGUCUCUGGACAGUCACUUCACCUCUCUGAAUUUCAGUCCCUGACUGCACAGUCAGAGUUGGCAACUGUUUGGUUUUUUUUACAUCUUGCACUGUUGGACUGACUUAACCAGCACAAGGAUUCUCUCCUGCCACCUUUAUUUGCAGCUCAUGAUGUGGUCCACAAUCUUGGCUGAGACUAUGAGAUGAUAGAAGAUACCAGCACUGAGAAAUAAUGACCUCAGAUUAAGUUUGCCAAACGAAACCACACAGCCUGAGCUGAGGGAAAGCACCACAGUGAAACCCAUUCUUACUUCAAGGCUGCACCACUUCAUCCUUAAUUUUGCUGAAUGAGUUUGCCAUUGGAGAGAGGAACAAUAUGUACUGUUCUGCAACUAAGGCUUAAACAGAAACUCUCCUGCCCACAGAUGAUGAGCACAGGCUGGAAAGAAGGUGUCUGCAUGCCACAGAGAAGUCCAUGAGGUCUGCUGGUUUUGCUGGUGCUCUCCCCUGAAUUUGGCCACUGAACACACUGGAAACCUGUGUCUCUGAAGGACCUGUCUGAUGGACAUGGGAAGCCUCCCCCCAGGUUUCCAUCACCUCCAGCAGUGAAAUAAGACACUGCUUCUGUGUAGUGAAGGCAGGGGAGAGAAACCAUUUAUGCUUUCUGUUCCCCUUGCUUUGUAAACAGGGGCAUCCCCCACUAGAUCAGGUUACUCAGAGCCCUGUCGAGCCUCACCUUGAAUAUCCCCAGGCAUGGGGCCUCAACUACCUCCAUGGGCAACCUGUUCCUGUGUUCCACUAUCCUCAUGGUAAAGAGUUUGCUCCUAGCAUCCAAUCUCCAUCUGCUUUAGUUUGAAACCACUGCCCUUUGCCCUGUCACUACAGGCCUUUGCAAUGGAGACUAGGAAGGAAUACAAGAUUUAUUCCAGGAGGAGCCUGCACAACCACAAAGCCUCUGCUUCUUUAGUACCCAUUAAACAAACUGCUAGACUGUAUUUUGGUACUGUGUGGUAUGCCCCAUUUCCAGCUGCUGUUGGGACUAAAAGAGAUGACCUGAAGAAUUCACACAGGAAGGUGUCCUGGUCAGCCCCUAGCCCCAUCAGUUACACUGACCUGAUCUGUGGGGGUGUAGUCAUCCAUGCUGACGCUGUCAAUUCUUUCCAAAAAGCUGGAAGAAAAACAGACACACACUUAGGUAUGUAAAACACUGCCUAGCAGAACACUUUUCACUGCCUUCUCUGCUUUAGACUCCUGCUGCAAAAAAAACCACAAGCCCAGUGCUGAAGGUACAAGCCUGACAAUUUGCUUACAUCAGCUGAGGUUCUAUCUGAGCCAAACAACUCUGCACUCAGACUUAGUUUCAAUGCAGCUCCAUACUUACCAUUAAGCAGCACCCACACGUGGGCCAGAUACUGUUAAAGUUGUAAUUUUGUGAGGUCUACUAAAUAAAUACUAACCCUGUGCCAUA